rnacentral:rRNA from 1 species
GAUGAACGCUGGCGGCGUGCCUAAUACAUGCAAGUCGAGCGAACGGACGAGAAGCUUGCUUCUCUGAUGUUAGCGGCGGACGGGUGAGUAACACGUGGAUAACCUACCUAUAAGACUGGGAUAACUUCGGGAAACCGGAGCUAAUACCGGAUAAUAUUUUGAACCGCAUGGUUCAAAAGUGAAAGACGGUCUUGCUGUCACUUAUAGAUGGAUCCGCGCUGCAUUAGCUAGUUGGUAAGGUAACGGCUUACCAAGGCAACGAUGCAUAGCCGACCUGAGAGGGUGAUCGGCCACACUGGAACUGAGGCACGGUCCAGACUCCUACGGGAGGCAGCAGUAGGGAAUCUUCCGCAAUGGGCGAAAGCCUGACGGAGCAACGCCGCGUGAGUGAUGAAGGUCUUCGGAUCGUAAAACUCUGUUAUUAGGGAAGAACAUAUGUGUAAGUAACUGUGCACAUCUUGACGGUACCUAAUCAGAAAGCCACGGCUAACUACGUGCCAGCAGCCGCGGUAAUACGUAGGUGGCAAGCGUUAUCCGGAAUUAUUGGGCGUAAAGCGCGCGUAGGCGGUUUUUUAAGUCUGAUGUGAAAGCCCACGGCUCAACCGUGGAGGGUCAUUGGAAACUGGAAAACUUGAGUGCAGAAGAGGAAAGUGGAAUUCCAUGUGUAGCGGUGAAAUGCGCAGAGAUAUGGAGGAACACCAGUGGCGAAGGCGACUUUCUGGUCUGUAACUGACGCUGAUGUGCGAAAGCGUGGGGAUCAAACAGGAUUAGAUACCCUGGUAGUCCACGCCGUAAACGAUGAGUGCUAAGUGUUAGGGGGUUUCCGCCCCUUAGUGCUGCAGCUAACGCAUUAAGCAUUCCGCCUGGGGAGUACGACCGCAAGGUUGAAACUCAAAGGAAUUGACGGGGACCCGCACAAGCGGUGGAGCAUGUGGUUUAAUUCGGAGCAACGCGAAGAACCUUACCAAAUCUUGACAUCCUUUGACAACUCUAGAGAUAGAGCUUUCCCCUUCGGGGGACAAAGUGACAGGUGGUGCAUGGUUGUCGUCAGCUCGUGUCGUGAGAUGUUGGGUUAAGUCCCGCAACGAGCGCAACCCUUAAGCUUAGUUGCCAUCAUUAAGUUGGGCACUCUAAGUUGACUGCCGGUGGCAAACCGGAGGAAGGUGGGGAUGACGUCAAAUCAUCAUGCCCCUUAUGAUUUGGGCUACACACGUGCUACAAUGGACAAUACAAAGGGCAGCGAAACCGCGAGGUCAAGCAAAUCCCAUAAAGUUGUUCUCAGUUCGGAUUGUAGUCUGCAACUCGACUACAUGAAGCUGGAAUCGCUAGUAAUCGUAGAUCAGCAUGCUACGGUGAAUACGUUCCCGGGUCU